AUUACAGAUAUUGAGCCAUACUGUUCCAAUAUUGUUCAUGAUGAAGAACCAUAGAUUCACGAGUUUUGUGUAAACAGGACUUUUGUAUCUCAUACAUGGAAAUGAUUAAUAGCUACUGAAUCAAAUGAAGAAUCUUAAGACUUAAAAGCAUAGAGUGGAAAUGGAAAUAUGAAAAUGUAUUAAGCCAAUGCAUGACAUAAGGAGAUUCAAUUAUGAAUUUUGAAAUUGGAGAGGUCAUACAUCAGAGAAGACUUAAAGCAAAGUUUACAGUAUGAUGAGAGAAGUUCAGAACAAGUUAUUUUGUUUGAAGAGGAAUCACAGCAGUCAAGACUUCAUUUUGAAUAAAGUAAAUUGUAUUAGAAGUGAAGCAUUAACAGUUAUGAGAUAUGUUAUUUCAAAGACUAUGUGGAUGUAAUCUGACUAGCAUUUGUAUGACCUAAAUAUGGCAUUUCCAUAUGAAGACUUACAAGGCAAAGAAUUGGAUGUGACAAACAUUUGUAUGCAUUUAAAGACUUGAAAAACUUGUACUGUCUUCUUCAGAUUUCAGGAGAAUUUGUUUAAGACAGUAAAUUCUGGGUAUGAAAUGAAGAAUUUGUGCUGAGUGACAUUAAAUGAAUUAUGAAAAUAUGUUUUCUACCUUGAAUUUAUAAAAACAACAUAAAAGAUAGACAAAUUUG